CACCGUUACACAUUCGGGCCACAUAUACCCUUCCACCGUUAAAACUUGUUUCCUCAAUAUUUUUAAACACGUGGCAGUCUUACAUUGGUCCAAAUUAGUCCACCCAAUCAAUUGUUUAAACCCACCCGACCCAAAUUUAUAACCCGUCCCGACCCCAGUUAUUUGACCAUAUUGACCAUCAACACCAUCAUCACUUUACCAUCCAAGGAUCAUCACCAUAACUGCAACAAACAAAGCUCAAGUUUCAUUGUUCAACUACUCCCACCGUUAUCACAAAUCGAGCCUGAGAAGACGCCUCAAGUCACUAGUAGCAUCGUCGGUACUCUCACUUUUCUUCUUGUUGAAGAAAGCCGGCACAGGCAAAGAGCUCUGAGGCGGCGAGGUUACAAAAGCCGAUCCAGCAUAAAAAUCACCGAUCCUUAUCUGCUCCGGCACCAUAUUCGGCUCUGGACCAAGCCGAUCUGUAGUCGACAACACCAAAUCUUCAACUACUCCACCACCCACCUUUUUGUUAUCGUCCUUCAAAGGUACCGGCUUGGUCAACGCUUCACCGCGUUUCAGAAUCUUCACCUCGUCCAUCACCAUAGGGCGGUUUUUAGCAGGAGGAGAACUCGAUAGGUUAGCCGGUCCAUUCUUUUGUGGACUUCGCUUUCUUCGGUUGUUGUUAGAAUUGAAAUUACGUCGAGAUCUCAUAGGCUGUACAUAGUUAUGACUGGGGUCGGGGCGGGUUAUAAAUUUGGGUCGGGCGGGUUUAAACAAUUGACUGGGUGGGCUAAUUUGGACCAAUGUAAGACGGUCCAUUCUUUUGUGGACUUCGCUUUCCUCGGUUGUUGUUAGAAUUGAAAUUACGUUGAGAUCUCAUAGGCUGUACAUAGUUAUGACUGGGGUCAG
rnacentral:lncRNA from 1 species